CACGUGUGAUGUCAGGUAGAGCAGAAUGUGGUGGACGGGUCACGCGUGAUGUCGGGUAGAGCAGAAUGUGGUGGACGGGUCACGCGUGAUGUCGGGUAGAGCAGAAUGUGGUGGACGGGUCACGCGUGAUGUCGGGUAGAGCAGAAUGUGGUGGACCACGUGUGAUGUCGGGUAGAGCAGAAUGUGGUGGACGG